UGGGGAAUAUUGGACAAUGGGGGCAACCCUGAUCCAGCCAUGCCGCGUGUGUGAAGAAGGCCUUCGGGUUGUAAAGCACUUUAAGCAGGGAGGAAGGCCUGGUGGCUAAUAUCCACCGGGAUUGACGUUACCUGCAGAAUAAGCACCGGCAAACUUCGUGCCAGCAGCCGCGGUAAUACGAAGGGUGCAAGCGUUAAUCGGAAUUACUGGGCGUAAAGCGCGCGUAGGUGGUUUGGUAAGCGAUAUGUGAAAUCCCCGGGCUUAACCUGGGAACUGCAUGUCGAACUGCCAGGCUAGAGUAUAGUAGAGGAGUGUGGAAUUCCCGGUGUAGCGGUGAAAUGCGUAGAUAUCGGGAGGAACAUCAGUGGCGAAGGCGGCACUCUGGACUGAUACUGACACU
rnacentral:rRNA from 1 species